UUAUUUGUCACUUAUAAAAAUAAUAGGCUCAGCAUAUUAAAAUACUGCAAAUAGAAAACUAUGUAUUAGGAUGUAAAGACAACCCUUUAUUUAAAUUUCUUAACCUCUCUGUGAGGUUGAAGGUUUUUUCUUAAAUAUUUAAGUCACUAAUUCAUGUUCUGUGAAUGAACUAAUCUGUUUACUCUUUCUAUACAGGUUUUGCCCACUCUUUCUAUAAAUUAUGAUGAAGAUGAUGAUGAACUCGUUUCCCUUUGCCAGUUAUAUGGCUGACCUGGGUCAGAGCCCAAAGCCAGAACCAAAGCCAAAGGAACGCUCUUGCCGAGGAUCCACACUGUUGCCAAGGGCUGUCCAUCCAUAGGAAGACUUCUCAUGACAGCCCUGUCCUGAGGCAGCUGGUUCUGGUGGGCAGCUGGUAGGAAACACAUCCUUUUUCAGUAACCCAGAUUGAAAUGUCAAUCCUUCGAUAGGCAAUCCUUGGAAAAGAAUAUUACUCUCACUUUUUGGAAACCCUCUGCUACUUUAGAGACCAAACCACAGGAAAAGCUAAUUGAAUAUUCAUUGACUGAGUGAUGAAUGGAUACAGAAGACAGAUAAAUUAUAGUUUUCAAUGAUUUUUUUAACAAGCAAGUAUCUGAGGUGGCCAGGGCCACUCAUAUGCACAGGUCCUGUGGUUUCUUUACCAAUUUCAUGGCCUCUAUCCCUGACAAGAUGAUGACAAGCCUGGAUGAGCUUCUAAAGGGUGUGUCUGGUAGAUUACCCACAAGCAGCAGAAGACCUGCCUUCCUUAAGGUUUAAGCAGGAACUUGCUUACGACGUCCAUCACUAGGACUCUAUAGAGGGGGCAGGCCCAGCUUAGCUUACCACCGUGGUACUGGGAUGGCCAGUGUCUCCUUCCCUGACCCCCAGGGAUCACAGCAGCUCUAGGCCUCAUGUGUAGGUAUCAAGAUGUCCAGCAAAGGAAAGAAUAAUGUCCUCUUGUGCAACUUUUUUAUUUUUAACUAAAGAGGAAAAGCUUUUCCAGAGUGUCUGCAGCAGACUUACCCUCAGGUAAGGACUAAAUCAAGGCACCAAUGCCUAAGCCUGUUACUGGCAGAGAGAAGACUAUUGUGAUCUCCUCUGAUUGAUGUUUCAGGCCCUAGAGCUACAGAGCAAACACCAGAAGGGGUAUGGGGUGAGACUGGCUCUUGGGUAGACAAUGCACAAUGUCUACCACAGAGUGACACCCAUUAUUCUUUGCUAGCCAUGCUGAACCUUGACCUUAUACUGAUGGGGCUCCAUCAGACAUGGGAAAGCAGCUCUUACCUUUAUCCAGGCCUAUGGGUGUAAUGGGCAGAGGAGAAGAAUUUGUACAUCUUACCUCUCAGCUUCCAUUGUGCUUCCCGGGAGGAAGGAGUUUUUGGCUUUAAGUCCACUUUCCAUCUUUUCUGGGUCUCAGCAAAGAAAAGAUGGAAGAGGGGAAGUUGGGGAUUACUUGAGAAUGAAGACACCUUAUUAUCAUCACUGUUACCGUUGUCAUUAUCAUCAUUGUUGCUAGCAUCAUCAGGGGCCCUUGUGAGAUUCCACUUGUGAUGACACUACUCCCUGUUGGGUAGAAUCACCUGGAUCAACAUGGCCUAAACC